rnacentral:lncRNA from 1 species
GAUCCUCAAGCCCUUGCUGAACCACAGUCCCCACUUAGUAAACAGGAGCUAUUUUCCCAUUUUAACACAGACAUCUAAUUGCUUUAUGACUAUUUGUCUAUGUCUAUCUCCCCUUCUAGACUGUGAGUUACAUAAUGGAAAAACUAUUGUUUUUAUUUACUCUUGAAUCCCUUAAUAAUUUAAACUUUGCCUGCUACAUAAUAGAGCCUCAAUUUCUGAAUGAAUUUAGAACACAAAAAUAAAGGCAAAUUUUUAAAAAGGAGAUAUGGUGAGAAUAAAUAACUAGAAAAUUGACAUUCUAUAAUGUUUCAAGGAGACAGUUUGAAAACAUGUCUAAAUUUACCAUCCAAUCCUCACCCCUAAUGAAUGUGUAAUAGCACAGAGAAGAUGAAAGUAAAGAGAGGAUACACACAUGGCUUGUAAGAUUGUGGCAUAAAACCUGGAACAAAAUAUUAUAUGUACCUCAAAUUUCAUCCUUGAAGAUCACCUCUAAAUACCACAUUAAGUCACUGAAAGUUAAAACCGAGAUGACAACAAAGGUAAUUUUCCAUUCCCUCAGUUAAGAGUUCCAUUCUAGUCAGUGACAGAGGAAAUUUUAGACACCCCUUAAAUAACCCCAGAUCUAUGCAGAGAUUCAUGGCUUCCUAGAUGAUCAUCGGUGGUAAAGGCUUCCUGUUUACCCUUGGGCAUCCUCUGGAAAACUCUCCCUGUUACCCUCCUAUAUCUGGACCAGAUACCCCAAUUAGAGCCCUAUUAGCAUGUUGCAGCCUCUCUCAUUUUCCUCUUACUCUGGAUUGUAAUUACCUGGAUACUUGCCAUUUUAUCUACCAGGCUUUAGGUUACAUUAUGGCAAUAAGCUGGUUUGCCUUGCUUACUGCUUCAUUGUUUAUGCGUAGCUCGGUAUCUGGAAUUGAGGGGGAAUGGGUGAUGAGAGGAAAGAAGACAAGCAGGCAACCAAAAAAAGAAUGAAGGAAGGCAAGUCUCCUAUCUAGAAAUACUAAACAUUCUCUAAUGAGCCCUGAAACAUUAAGGUUUAAGUGUUUCUCCUAGAAUCUUGACUCAUAAGAGAGCCUUGAGCUUUUUAGGAAAAACAAAAUGCCUACUUAGCAAGGGAAACCAGCUGGCCCACAACUCCUUUGGAACCAUCCUUGACACUAUGAUUAGCCUUGAUUUUGCUUUACCAUUUGUCUGACUUAUAUUAGGUGACAAUGGAUUAACUGACCUCAGCUGUAAUUUACUGCUGUGUUCCAUGGGAUACUUAAUCCCUCCAAUCAUCUAUGGAGAGGUCCCCAACACAAACAACAAUGUGGUCUACGUUGUGUAAAUUGUGUUACCUUUGCCUUUUCCUUUGUCAUCUCUGCAUUAUAUGUGAUUUUGUAUUUUCUCUCAUUAGAGAUGAGUUAAACUCACUUGUAAUCUGUGGGCUUUGUUAUUCAUAGAAGGCCGACUAUCUUCUUUCACUCAAUAUAUAUUACCUUAUUUUAAACCUAGCAUGCAUGUGUCUAACUUCUCAAAUUAACAGAAGGUAUGGACCAUGCCCUAUAUUAUAGAUUUAUCACUUCUUUUAGUGGUUAACUUAUUAUGUUGAGCAAAAGAGGUGCUUGAUAUUUUAAAAAAUGAUGAAACAUAAAAAGUAAAGGUAAUUAUUUUCUUAUUAAAAAAGAAAUAUUUCUUUCUAAUAUUUCUAAUACUUCUAAAUCAUAAAGAUUGUGGGAUUUCUAUUAAGAAUUAAAAAUAUUUGAGAAAUAGUUUUCAAAAAUCAUUGGCUGUAUCUGUAUGUGUAUCAUCCGUGUUUGCACUGGAUCAAAAAACCCAAGGUGCUUGUUCAGUUUUUGGUUUUGUUUGUUUGUUUUAUGUUGGACACCAUAAAAGAUGUCAUUGAAAAGCAUUCACUCUCCUUUUCUGUCACCAGCCACUUGGACCUACUAGGCUCCACCCUCACUGAUGUCACAGAUGGCAUCUCAGCAGCAAAAAGGUCAGACAAAAAAGCUCCAAGUUCUCAAGAUUUAAAAGCAAGUUAUCAGGAUUUGGACUAGAGCCCCAAACCAUACAGGCUAUAAGGUCAGAGCUUAACUGUUUUUCCAUUUUAUUGCUCAAGGACAAGAGAGUUUGAUGCAUGAGACUCCAGCCCCAUAAACCGUCUACUGAGGUGGCCAUUUUAUCACGUAUGGUUGUGAGUUGAGUACUGACCACACAAUUUAAAUCGACAGCAGCAGGGUCCUGGUGGAGAUGUGAGAAGCAAUGUCACACACAACAUUCUCUUCCUAAUUAUUGGGACCCAGACAGGUGGCAGGAAGGGAAUGAGGGGUGAGGUGGGGGGAGAGGGAGGGGCGGGGAAGCACAGUGACAUUUCCCAUCUCAGGAGUACAAGAUUCAUUACCACUGAUGAAAAGUCACCAGGCUGCGGUGAGUCCUGACAUACUCCGUGACAGGAGAAAGUGACAUGGCCGUUUGACAUUCAGGGCUAGAAGGUUGCCGGUCUGUAAUCACUAGUUAAAAUUGAAUCUUGUACAUUGCACCCUGCCAGCACAGCUCAACUCUUGAUAAUUAUUUGGAUGCUACUGUAUUUGGAUUUUAUUUCCCCAGCAGAGAGGGGAAGUUGGAUUUAUAGUUUACUGCUGGGUUAAGAUUGGAACAGGCUAGAUCUUUUUUAUGGUUAAUAUGGGAGAGCCAAAUAAAUCUAGAGGUGUUUUUUUGGUCCCCAUUUUAAUUCUAAACCACUUGGGGAGGGGGGUGGGGAGCCACAAUGGAAUCAAAGAGUGUGUCUUCUAAUUUUUCAUGAACAAGCUACAAUUCUGUCUAUGGUAAUGUUUUUCUCUUUUUUCCUUUCAACUUACGAUGCUUUAAACCAGCCAUCUGGACAUGAAUGGGACUGGGAAAUAUCAUUUGCAAUUGCUAUAGCCUGAGCACCCACAUGGAUGAGGACAUAGGUGGUCAAUGCCGCUCAACCAUGUCUUCUUUACCUGGAGUUCAGGAGAAGGACAAGAGAAAUGUUUUACAGUGGGUCAUUUUAGCAUAAUUACAGACUGGCCUUGAAAUGCAGGUUUAAUAAAAGCAUGCUGGAUUCCAACAAGAAUACUCUCUCCCCUCACUCCUAUUUUGAAGCAUGGAAGCUUCCAUUCUUUGCAGGAGCCACAGCCUGUAUAUUCACUCUAUUAAGCCUGGAGAAUUCUCAGAUAUCUAGCUUGACAGGCUCGAUCACAUAUUUUAAGGAAUCACAGGCCACAUGUUGAAAGAAGGGUAAAGUGAUCACCAGAGGUAACUUUAUGUACAGACAGAGUAAGUGUUGCCUGCACUCUAGGAUUUAACUGUUCUUUGGGAAGUAGGCAGAGUGGCUUGAUCUAAGGUAGUUUUGCCAUUACCCUCCCUAAGUGUCUAAAAGACCCUAAUUAGAAAAGCAUCAAUUUAAAUAAAAUCUUGUGUUCACAAGUUCCAAAAUAAGUCAUCAUUAUUUCAUGGAGAAAAGACAAAUAAUUCUCAAACACAGGCAAAGAUAAAUAAAGCAUGGUAGAAAUUUUUCUGGGAAAGGCUGAUAGGCUCUGGUCCAAGAAGGCUCAAAAAUUGGAAUUCAAGAGUUUCUGUCAUGGCACAGCAGAAAUGAAUCCGACUAGGAACCAUGAGGUUUCCGGUUCUAUCCGUGGCCUCCCUCAGUGGCUUAAAGGAUCCAGCGUUGCCGUGAGCUGUGGUAUAGGUCACAGACGCAGCUUGGAUCGGGCAUUUCUGCGGCUCUGGUGUAGGCCCGUGGCUACAGCUCUGAUUGGACCCCUAUUCCGGGAACCUCCAUAUGCCACGGGUGCGGCCCUAAAAGAUCAAAAGAAAAAAAAAAAAAAAGAAUUGGGAUUCAUUGCUCUGUGGGAUUCACUCUGAACCCAGGGUUGACUCUCAGCCUUGCUCCUGCUGGAAGCCGAUUUCUGGUGGUUUAUUGUGAUCUUCCCAGGAACUUCUAUUUUCUGCAGGUGUGGCCUUAAAAAAAAAAAAAAAAAAAAGCGCAACAGGAUUUAGAAAAUGGAAAAGUCACAUGACUAGCACAGACAUUAUAGAAAAAUUAGCCACAUCCUAAACAGAAGGUAUCAGGGUAAUCACAGAGUCACCAAGGAAGUAAAAAUUAACUCAACUCUUCUCCCUUUUACUAGGAGAGUAUGCAUAGCCGAGGCUGUCUUCACCAAAUCUCAGACUGCCCUAAGGCACUGAGAUGGCAUCCUUAGUAUAUAGUUCUCUUCUGAACAGUUCUGAGAUGGGCAUUGUCAACCACUGCUUUCUCUCUCUCCUUUGUUCAAUGUUCAAUAGUGUCCCCUCUACUUACCCUCCACUUCAUACCAGAGAAAUGAUGUUGCUAUCAGAGCUCACUUUCAGAAAGCAAUGAUAUUUUCUGGCUUUGCUAGUCAGUCACAGAAUAAAUAAUGUAGAGGGUAUAAAUUCAUUACCUGCUUUUGUUUCACCAGAAAAUGUGCUGAUUGAAUGAGGCACCUUAAGGAGAAGGUUCCUUGCUCAAAGCGGGGAUUUCUAAACAGGGAAAAGUCAAGGGAAGUAACUGAGUCUUGAGAAACUUUCCAAUAGAGUGAUAACAAUACCCAGUAAAAGGACAUGCACAACUAGAGAACAUAGAACAAAGAAGAGAGAAAAAGAAGGAAAAAAUUUUAAAAAAGAAAACCCAAAUAUAUCAAGAAAGAUUAAAUUAUCCCUAUAAUCUCCCAGUGGAAAUAGAUUAAGGAGUGACUUGGACACUGAGGUUACUGAAAGGAUGAUCUCAACAGUGGUGAAAAUGAGGUACUUGGGUUGGUUAUAUGGGGUGUGGUUAAAGGAAUAAACCAACUUUUCAGUCAUAGGACACCUCAACUUCUGCUACUUGUAAAUUGGGUAAAAGGCAAUUUCUUUUUUUAUGUGCCUUGAUUACCUUUACUUGGGAAAAAUAACCUCAAUUAUUCAUUGUCUAGGCCCCAUAGCAAAAACACAAACUUGCAGCUAAUAUGAGAUUUCGCCAAAAUUUGCUCAUGGCGAACUGAAGAGCAGUCCCCAUGUUCCCAUGGUUGAGAAAAGACCUCUUCCUCUUCUUCUGCAUGCAUAUCAUGUAUAGUUCCUAUCAAGACCUGCUCUUCCCCUCUACCUUGAAGUCUCCCCCAUCUAGCCCACACUAUUGAUCUUUUCUCUAAAUUUCUGUAGAAUUCAACCUUCUUAUAUAAAUGUAUCACACAUGUUUCUCCAUUUCCUAUUUAUACAUCUUGCUUGAAUGAGCAACUAUAGCCUGGAGGUAAGAAGUUUCUGAGACCUAAUGUUCAUCUUUGACCUCUUGGAAACUCAAUUUUCUUAUCUAUUGUGAUAAGGAAAUAAAACUGUGGACCUCAAAGGUCACAUCCAGUUCUAAUAUUCUAUAAAACUAUGUCGUGUUUUCUUUGUCCUUAUCCUGGAAGGGAAAUGGAAUUUUCUUUGUUAAGUUUGCACAACUCUGUGUUUGUUCAAUCCAAGGUAAGAAGAAUGCUCUAAGAACAAUGCUUGGUACCAGAUUCCGUUCACACCAUAUGUGUACCCUAAUGAUGGCCCUCCUCAUGCAGCAACACCUGCCAGAGCUCAAACCAGCACAAACUUCAUGGGGUGACUCUUCUCCUUCUGCAUGUAGAACUUAGAUACUCAAUGCUUUAUAGAAUCAAAGUGUGCAUGUGUGUGUUCAACAUUUUCAUUUUAGAACAUUGAAUCACCAGACUCUAGCCUCAUCUUGUUUAUGUAUGUUUCUGAGGAGAUCAAGCUGUCUGGAGCCUUCUACUCAUACUGCUCCCAGUUUGUGUGCUUUCCCUACAGCUCUUGAUGAAAUUAGCAUCCUGGAAUAUUCAACAGAAGUCAUUUUUAUCAUGCAAUCAAGAUUACUGCCACUAAUGUUAGACAUGUGUUAUGGCAGCACACUGAAAGAAAGCCCACAAGCUGUAGCAUUGCUCACAGGUGAAAAGAGCAUAAGCCUCCAAACACCUAGAAGAGGGUGGCUUGUCUUUAGACAGUAUUAUUAUUUUAACAUGCAUGCUAGUGUUCUUUUAAAGAUUAUUGAUCGCAUUCAUUGGCAUGACACAAUUGGGGAUAAAAUUAUCAAUAUCUCAUUGAACAGGGAUGAUAGGGAGAGAAUUUGUGGCAGCCUCAGGUGAAGCCUAGAGAUUGGACCACUGGAUUUGGAUAGAUUUUCUUUAUUUCCUUUGAAUGCAUGUCCCCCAAGAAGGAAGAUUUCUAUUGCUGAAUGAGGUUGGAGCUUAUUACUCCUUUUAGGAAUACAAAGAAUAGGAGUCUU